UCUCUUCAUAAAAUGCAUCACUUUAAAUUGUCGCAUUAGAUCACAAAAUGUGUUGAGUUAGCAUUGCUUAGACAUCCCAACAAUUAAUAACCCCUCCAAGUCUCGUAUAAUCAUUCUCACACCAAUAUUUUCCUCCCUAAUUAUCACACCAUCAAAAUUUACCUUAAACUACCCUUGACAUUAAGCUAUUUAUUUUAGAUUUGGGUGCCGUUGUUAAGUGUUGCUUGAACUCUCUAUGAUACUUAAGGUAGACAUAGCGAGUUUUCAAGGAUCUAUUUUGUGGUUCUCAAAUAACAAUUUGUUGCAUAAGGUCCAAAUCAAUGAUCAAUUUCUCUAAAACACGCCUUUCGUCCUUCUCCAUAACCUGCCAAAACCAAAUUGUGAGUUAAGCAAGCUAUAAUCCCAGUGAUGCACAUAUCACCCACUUCAACCAUAGUGACCCCAUCAACACUAACUCAUCAUGUUGAGAUAAAUUGUGCAAUGGCUUUGAUUAUAACUUCCCUACCGGUGUAGACAUCGCAUUUUGCACCCGUUAAUAAAUUUUAGUCCCUGGUCCCAAUGAUGAGCUUAACAUGUCUACAAAAAGGCACUGAAUGGCCGAUUAAAUAUCAACCAAGUUGUGUUCCAUAAGUAAGUUGGAAAUUGGUAUAGAAAGCUCUUAUUCAGAUGUGGCUUUUUGAGCAAAAGGACCUAAGGAUCAAGGGCAGAAUGAUUGGUGGUUUCGGUUUAGAUCAUCAAUCUCCAACUCCUCAUAGAUUGCAAACUUCAUCCCAUCAAGAAACUAGCAUAUAACGGUAAAUGCAGUAUUUUAAGGACUCCAUGGGUGUUACAUAGUUGUUUUGAACAAUCACGUUUAGUAGGUAGA